rnacentral:rRNA from 1 species
UACGUAGGGGGCAAGCGUUGUCCGGAAUCAUUGGGCGUAAAGAGCGUGUAGGCGGCCCGAUAAGUCCGCUGUGAAAGUCCAGGGCUCAACCCUGGAAUGCCGGUGGAUACUGUCGGGCUCGAAUCCGGAAGAGGUGAGUGGAAUUCCUGGUGUAGCGGUGAAAUGCGCAGGUAUCAGGAGGAACACCAAUGGCGAAGGCAGCUCACUGGGACGGUAUUGACGCUGAGACGCGAAAGCGUGGGGAGCAAACAGG